rnacentral:piRNA from 1 species
UCGGAGUAGUAGUGUUGAUGAGGUGGCCA